rnacentral:rRNA from 1 species
UACGUAGGGGCCGAGCGUUGUCCGGAGUUAUUGGGCGUAAAGCGCGCGCAGGCGGCCUCGCGCGCCCGACGUGAAAGCCCCCGGCUUAACCGGGGAGGGUCGUUGGGGACGGCGGGGCUUGAGGGCGGGAGAGGUCGGUGGAAUUCCCGGUGUAGUGGUGAAAUGCGUAGAGAUCGGGAGGAACACCUGUGGCGAAGGCGGCAUCCUGGACCGGUAUUGACGCUGAUGCGCGAAAGCUAGGGGAGCAAACGGG